GUGCCACAACACCCGGCUAAUUUUGUAUUUUUAGUAGAGACAGGGUUUCCCCAUGUUGAUCAGGAUGGACUCUAACUCCUGACCUCAAGUGAUCCACCCGCCUUGGCCUCCCAAAGUGCUAGGAUUACCAGGUGUGAGCCACCACCAGACCAGGUUAUUACUUUUUUUUCCUUUUGAGACAGGGUCUCACUCUGUUGCCCAGGCUGGAGUGCAUUGGUGCGAUCUUGGCUCACUGCAGCCUCCGCCUCCCAAGUUCAAGCGAUUCCUCUGCCUCAGCCUCCCGGGUAGCUGGGACUACAUGCCAGUGCCACCACACCACCAGGUUUUGAAGUACGAGGUUCAUCACUAUUCUACACGGAGCUCAACUGUCAAAGUCUGAACUCUCCAAUAUGGUAGUCACCAGCCACAUGUAUCUACUCAGUGAUGGAUAGGUAGCUA
rnacentral:lncRNA from 1 species